ensembl:lncRNA
GAGUGGAGAAAGAGAGAGAGGAGAGUGGAGAAAGAGAGAGUAAGGAGUGGAGAAAGACAGAAAGAGAGAGUAAGGAGUGGAGAAAGACAGAAAGAGAGAGUAAGGAGUGGAGAAAGAGAGAGUAAGGAGUGGAGAAAGACAGAAAGAGAGUAAUGAACAGAAAGAGAGAGUAAGGAGUGGAGAAAGAGAGAGAGUAAGGAGUGGAGAAAGACAGAAAGAGAGAGUAAGGAGUGGAGAAAGACAGAAAGAGAGAGAAGGAGAGAAAGACAGAGAGAGAGUAAGGAGUGGAGAAAGAGAGAUAAAGGAGUGGAGAAAGAGAGAGUAAGGAGUGGAGAAAGAGAGAGUAAGGAGUGGAGAAAGACAGAAAGAGAGAGUAAGGAGUGGAGAAAGAGAGAAAGAGAGAGUAAGGAGUGGAGAAAGACAGAAAGAGAGAGUAAGGAGUGGAGAAAGAGAGAGUAAGGAGAGGAGAAAGAGAGAGUAAGGAGAGGAGAAAGACAGAAAGAGAGAGUAAGGGGUGGAGAAAGACAGAAAGAGAGAGUAAGGAGUGGAGAAAGACAGAUAGAGAGAGAGAGUAAGG